rnacentral:rRNA from 1 species
UCCUUAGACGUUCUGGGCCGCACGCGCGCUACACUGACCAGUGCAACAAGCAUCCGUCCUUGGCCGACAGGCUCGGGCAAUCUUUGAACGCUGGUCGUGAUGGGGAUAGACUUUUGCAAUUUUUGGUCUUCAACGAGGAAUUCCUAGUAAACGCAAGUCAUCAACUUGCAUUGAUUACGUCCCUGCCCUUUGUACACACCGCCCGUCGCACCUACCGAUUGAAUGGUCCGGUGAAGCCUCCGGAUUGGCGCGCACCUCGGUGCCGCCGAGAAGUUGGCUAAACCUUACCAUUUAGAGGAAGGUGAAGUCGUANCA